CGAAUGCUGACAUAAGUAACGAUAAAGCGGGUGAAAAGCCCGCUCGCCGGAAGACCAAGGGUUCCUGUCCAACGUUAAUCGGGGCAGGGUGAGUCGACCCCUAAGGCGAGGCCGAAAGGCGUAGUCGAUGGGAAACAGGUUAAUAUUCCUGUACUUGGUGUUACUGCGAAGGGGGGACGGAGAAGGCUAUGUUGGCCGGGCGACGGUUGUCCCGGUUUAAGCGUGUAGGCUGGUUUUCCAGGCAAAUCCGGAAAAUCAAGGCUGAGGCGUGAUGACGAGGCACUACGGUGCUGAAGCAACAAAUGCCCUGCUUCCAGGAAAAGCCUCUAAGCAUCAGGUAACAUCAAAUCGUACCCCAAACCGACACAGGUGGUCAGGUAGAGAAUACCAAGGCGCUUGAGAGAACUCGGGUGAAGGAACUAGGCAAAAUGGUGCCGUAACUUCGGGAGAAGGCACGCUGAUAUGUAGGUGAAGCGACUUGCUCGUGGAGCUGAAAUCAGUCGAAGAUACCAGCUGGCUGCAACUGUUUAUUAAAAACACAGCACUGUGCAAACACGAAAGUGG
rnacentral:rRNA from 1 species